UGUGUUCAGGAGAUCUCAACCACAGGUUUCUGCUCAGACUCUACCGUCUGCAUCUUUCUCCUGAGAGCUGUCUGCAGCCGUUGUUUUGGGCUUAGGAACCCGUGUGUUGGUCUCUGGCAGUGCUGCUGCUUCACCUUUGCUCAGGGGCCUGAGAGGAGCAGCAGGUGGUGGGGUGAGGUCUCCCUCCCAUGAGUCCUUGGGGGCUGUGGUGGUUUCUGGGAGUGAGCUUCUGCUUGAAGACUUCGUCUCUGGGCCUGAGGACAUGACACUGAGCAGAAACACGUCUGACCUCCAGUUGUGCCUUGGGAACCUGCUGUUUCCAGCCUGACAUCCUGCUCUCCUCUCACCUCUGCAGCUGAAGGUGUAAAUGUAAAGCUGCCACCUCGUCCACCUGCUGGGAGCACACACACAGGCCUUCAGGGGUCAUGCAUUAGUACUUUCAUUAAACUGAAUAAAAACUGCAUGUGGUAAUAAUCUACAUGCAGAGAGACUACAGUGACCCUGCUACUUGUUGACAGUAAUAAACAGAUUGAUCUUUUAAAUCUUGUCCCUACGCAGCCUCACUGUAGACACCUUAUCUGAUGAGAUUCUUAGAUGGGCAAUUAAACUUCCAUCAACUAAUAUUUUCUGUCUGAUAGUUCAUGUGCUGUGAAACACACUGAUCUGAUGUUUUCUCUGCUGUCGGUGCCUGUGUUGUUGUUUUGGUGGUGGGAAACACAUUUGUGAUCACGUCUUUAACUGAGGAAGACAAAAAUAAAAGCAUGAGAUUUGCAGUCAUUCAUGUUUGAGACCAGAGCUGCUUUAAGGCUGGAAGGAUGUUCCUGAUCAUGUAGUUUUACAUUUGGACUUCAGUGAACAUCCUGUGUGGAUUAGAGUUCUAUCUUCACCUAUUACAUACAAUCUGACAUCUGUUUUUGUGAUUUAUGUAACGUAGCUGCUGUAAAACUGCGAUUUCUCUUUGUAAUAAAAGAUAAUUAUUCAAUC
ensembl:lncRNA